rnacentral:lncRNA from 1 species
GCCUACUCUGUCGUCUCCCAAACUUGCAAGGUCACAUAUUUCAUUCCUUCAUGUAGUAACUUAUCAGUCCAGAGGAUUCCAGGAGCCCUGGGAAUGCGUGUUUGUAAAAUUCAUUUAAAUUCAUUAAAGUCAUUCAACUUACAUGACUUCUCAUAGAUUCUUAUCAUCUGGGCCUUGGAAUGGUCUAUAUAAUCAUUGGUUCCCAGAGGAUUUUCUGUGCCCUUAAUUUCAGUGACUAUCCACAGUUUUUUCUUGGCAGGAGUAUGUGUAGACAUCCCAGUUAGCUCAACAGGACUGUCCCAGCAGCCAGUCCACCAUAACGAGCAUGGCUGGUGCAGGCCUGGAGACGUCUACCCAUAUCGGACACAGUGUGUUUUGUGAACCAAGUGAGGUGUAGAGGAAUAAAGUCCUCUGCCUUCCUGCAGCCUUAAUGGUCUGCUGUGCAGGCUCCCUGGUGACUCAGGAGUUGUUCCUGAAAUCAGCGUGGCAGUGUGAGACAAGAUGUCCUGCGUGUGCCAGUGGUGGUUUUUAGGGGCAUCCCAGUGCAGCGUCUGUCCAUUGUGAAGUAGUGUGGUCGUGAAGCAGUACUAUGGUUCAGUGAGCAGCGCACUACAUGGGUCAGAAAUGACAGUGUGACAGAGUCACAUACCUUGAGGCAGACCUGCGUGAUAAUCACCAAGAUUGCUUUUUCCACCCGUGUUUCAAAGCCGACAUGAAGAAUGAGCCCUCGCCUGAGUCACUGUUUUAACCUGGCUUAAUAGAAUUUCCUUUUUCCAGUUUCUUUGCGUUAGGGUAAUAGACAGAAUGGUCGUUAAAGUUAGAGGCUUGGUAAUCAAGCGAGGUGGCAUUCUGUGGCUAAUCAGCCUUGUCUCCUGCCUGUGCCGGCUUGUGUAGGCUGGCGCCUUGGCUCUCGGGUGGCCGCUAUGAGCACACAGGCUGGCCCAGAAUAGGACACAGCCCUGCCUGCAGGCUCUGCUAGGAUAGCUUUCGCCAUGGCGUGGUGCUUUGGUUUAAUCAUUGUCAGAGGUCAGAGUUGAAAACUAAAACCCUAGACGCUUGUGGAAUGUGCGUCUAGGUGUAGUUACUCAUUGUGUGGUGUGUCCUUUGCUCCCCUUGCACGUCACUCCUGUGUGCCUGUGGACACUGCUCUCGACAGCCUCCCGACCCAAGGAAAGAACCGCAAGGACUUUCCAGUACACUUCCACCUGUGGCCGCCCUCAGCUGUGGGUUAGAAAUAAACACUGGACCUACAUACUAGAGUGCCUGGCCUGGCUCAGACGUGGGCGUGAGCAGUGUUGCUGUUUGAAAGUGAAAUCUGAAGCUCUAGUAACUCUUGGGUUGCUUAGUUUCAGCUUUCCACAUGGAAUAAAUAAAACAAAAUAAAACAAAAGGGAGGUGAGGUUCCGCCCUCUGAGAUACAGACUCUUUAAAGAGGAUUUUUAUUAUUCUGAACCUAGUUUCAUGAGAAAAUAUGUUGAGAUAAAUAAGAUCAAACAAUCAAAUGAUGCCAGUGGGGAUGAAAGCACAUACGUUCCUAGUGUAGCCAUUGGGGUAUCUUCUAUUUUAAAGACUGCUUGUCUCUAUUUUUAGUUCCACCAGAAACAUAAUUGUUGGCACAGGGUUGGAAUGUAUUGUCGGUGCAUGCCUGUGAUGUCAUCAUUGCAAGUUACCCUCAAAAACUAAGCCAGAGCCCCAACUCAGCCCGUGACCUCCGCCCUCAGCUACAGAAACAGCUGUAUUCCUGUCGAGCCUUUGCUGAGGAGCUGGGCUUCCACAGGGACUCAAGUGGGGAACGUGUUGCAGUGAUCAUUUUUCUAAAAUUCCUAGUAAUUUCUCAGUGUUCUACAGCAGAGAACAGGACCCCGUGUGACUGACUUCAGAUUGGCUUCUCUUUGAAGUAGGGCUUCCUCACUGUCCAUGGGCUGAUGGUAUAGCUUUAGGUCUCUCUGUAAGAGACGCCGUUACUGUCAUUACUUCACGCCUUAAGGAAUCAAGACCUCCACCAGUCUGUUACUCCUUCAAGGUAUGCUUCAUGGAUGAUCACGUUAGAGACUGUUGCCAUCUUGUGUGGGUAAAUGAUGUCAUUUGUGAGCAUAGAGGUGCUCUGCUGUGAGGAUGUCAUGCCUAAACAAUGCAGUGGAAAUCCAGUAUACAAGUUCAGAUACUGGUAUUUCUAGACAUGGCUUAGUCCUGAAAGAAUUUCCUUGCUAUGCAUUUUAAAGUGUUUGUAGAUGGAUUAAUAUAUUUUUAUGCAAUGUAUUUUACACUUAUUUCUAGACCAAACUCUUCAGUGGCUUCUUCAAGUGCAUUAUUGGGUGGAUAAGAGCUUGACGGCUUCACUAACUCGAGGAGCGUGGAGCCAAGCGUCUGGGAAGCGUGUGUGUUCCUACUGUACUUGCAAACCUAAAGCUCUUCCAAAGCUUUGUACUUUUUUUCCAUGAAACAGAUUAAAUAUUUUUCUCUCCAA